UAAGUUCUUUGUAUCAACUCACUUGUUGGU
rnacentral:piRNA from 1 species